rnacentral:rRNA from 1 species
CCUACGGGUGGCUGCAGUAAGGAAUAUUGGUCAAUGGACGCAAGUCUGAACCAGCCAUGCCGCGUGGAGGAUGAAGGCCUCUGGAUUGUAAACUUCUACUGAAACCAUUACGGUACCAGAUGAAUAAGCACCGGCUAACUCCGUGCCAGCAGCCGCGGUAAUACGGAGGGUGCAAGCGUUAUCCGGAUUCACUGGGUUUAAAGGGUGCGUAGGUGGGCAGGUAAGUCAGUGGUGAAAUCUCCGGGCUUAACCCGGAAACUGCCGUUGAUACUAUCUGUCUUGAAUAUCGUGGAGAUGAGCGGAAUACGUCAUGUAGCGGUGAAAUGCUUAGAUAUGACGUAGAACACCGAUUGCGAAGGCAGCUCGUUACACGUAUUGACACUGAGGCACGAAAGCGUGGGGAUCAAACAGGAUUAGAUACCCUUGUAGUC